rnacentral:rRNA from 1 species
UACGGGGGGAGCAAGCGUUGUUCGGAUUUACUGGGCGUAAGGGGCGCGUAGGCGGCGCAACAAGUCACUUGUGAAAUCUCCGGGCUUAACCCGGAGCGGCCAAGUGAUACUGUCGUGCUAGAGUGCGGAAGGGGCUACUGGAAUUCUCGGUGUAGCGGUGAAAUGCGUAGAUAUCGAGAGGAACACCUGCGGCGAAGGCGGGUAGCUGGGCCGACACUGACGCUGAUGCGCGAAAGCCAGGGGAGCGAACGGG